rnacentral:rRNA from 1 species
AGAGUUUGAUCCUGGCUCAGGAUGAACGCUGGCGGCGUGCCUAAUACAUGCAAGUCGAACGCUUCACUUCGGUGAAGAGUGGCGAACGGGUGAGUAAUACAUAAGUAACCUGGCAUCUACAGGGGGAUAACUGAUGGAAACGUCAGCUAAGACCGCAUAGGUGUAGAGAUCGCAUGAACUCUAUAUGAAAAGUGCUACGGGACUGGUAGAUGAUGGACUUAUGGCGCAUUAGCUUGUUGGUAGGGUAACGGCCUACCAAGGCGACGAUGCGUAGCCGACCUGAGAGGGUGACCGGCCACACUGGGACUGAGACACGGCCCAGACUCCUACGGGAGGCAGCAGUAGGGAAUUUUCGGCAAUGGGGGAAACCCUGACCGAGCAACGCCGCGUGAAGGAAGAAGUAAUUCGUUAUGUAAACUUCUGUCAUAGAGGAAGAACGGUGGAUAUAGGGAAUGAUAUCCAAGUGACGGUACUCUAUAAGAAAGCCACGGCUAACUACGUGCCAGCAGCCGCGGUAAUACGUAGGCGGCGAGCGUUAUCCGGAAUUAUUGGGCGUAAAGAGGGAGCAGGCGGCACUAAGGGUUUGUGGUGAAAGAUCGAAGCUUAACUUCGGUAAGCCAUGGAAACCGUAGAGCUAGAGUGUGUGAGAGGAUCGUGGAACUCCAUGUGUAGCGGUG